AAAAAAAAAAAAAAAAGUAAAAUGUAAGAGAAUUUUAGUAAAUAUAGGCCAAAUGUUUGGGUGUGACAGUAAAUUCUCCUUUUUUAAUCAAAGAAAUAGGAGCUAAGAUUGGGUCCAGCUCACUCAAAAGAAGAAACAGCAUCCUCUCUACCAGAAGAGCCAAAAAAGGACAAACGAUUUACACGAGGGCCAAACAGAGGCAGCAGGCAUGACCAGAAACCGUUUCUGUCUUUUGGUAAUAGAAACCGUUUCUGUAGCAGAUGUCAGGGUGUGCAGAAAUAACGUUCAUAACCUCCACCCCCACAAGGAAUAAAGUAAACGUUUUAGGACCAUAAAUAAAGAGAGCUGAGUUUGAAGAUAGAAGAAAGAAAGAGAGGAGAUACGGAGGGAGGAAGAAACAUGAGAUCAUCAGUUGUGUUGAUUUUUAUAGUGAUGUUUGUGGUUGCAGAGCACCAUACCUCUGCAGCUAUAUCCAUUAUCAAAUGCUUCAGUUGCAUCAAAUGCAUCACACAAGGUGGUACACCACUUACAUGUAUUGAUUGUUUGAACUGUCUUGGAGGCGCGCAAGUUCCUCCUAAUUCAAAUUUCCAAUGUAUUGUUGACUGUGCCAAAUCCUCCUGCUCCACUUACAUCAAUGAUGACAAAGCAUUGGAAGGGUGCAUGACUUCUUGUUCUGAAAGCAUUUGCAGCAACUAAUGCAAUCCAUUGAAGAACAAGUCCCAUAUGUUGUAUACAAAAUCCUCAAAUAUGAUAUGAGAAACUUUGGGAUCAAAGAAUAGUAUGAGCCUUUAUAAAUGGUAGCUAGAAGGCUAUUUGAUUAAUAAAAAAAGAUUUGGCAAUUCAUCUA